rnacentral:lncRNA from 1 species
ACCACUCAGCGGCGUUCAGUUGGACAUUAAUGAUUUCGCAUUCACAACUCAGAAGAAUUGCUUAGGUGGUGCCUCGGAUUUUUAAUAGUAGGUAUUAUCAUUU